rnacentral:misc_RNA from 1 species
AGCAGCCGCGGUAAUUCCAGCUCCAAUAGCGUAUAUUAAAGUUGUUGCAGUUAAAAAGCUCGUAGUUGAAUUUCGGGAUCAGUUGAUCGGUCGUGCCUCGGUACGUACUGGUCAAAUUGAUUCCUACCUUCUGACGAACCACGAUGUCAUUAAUUUGGUGUCGUGGGAAAUCAGGACUGUUACUUUGAAAAAUUAGAGUGUUUAAAGCAGGCUCGCGCUUGAAUACAUUAGCAUGGAAUAAUGAAAUAGGACGUUUGAUUCUAUUUUGUUGGUUUCUAGGAUCGACGUAAUGAUUAAUAGGGAUAGUUGGGGGCAUUAGUAUUCAAUUGUCAGAGGUGAAAUUCUUGGAUUUAUUGAAGACUAACUACUGCGAAAGCAUUUGCCAAGGAUGUUUUCAUUAAUCAAAGAACGAAAGUUAGGGGAUCGAAGACGAUCAGAUACCGUCGUAGUCUUAACCAUAAACUAUGCCGACUAGGGAUCGGAUG